AAAUGAUCAAGCAGUUUGUAUAAUAAUUGCUCUGGACACUACAAUACCUUACGGAAAUAGCGGCAGUCAGAAAAUACAAACAUGGGUUAUAUCUUCCACAAUACAGUCAUUUAUAUGAUAUGCAAAUUGUUACGUAUAUCCAUUUCGAGGUCUCUGGAGGUCUAUAGAUAAUUCAUAUAGUAAAAUGAUAAAUAUCAUAAAUAUGUAUGAGACGUAAAGAUAAAAAGGCUGCGCGUUUAAUGCGAAAUUCAAUGAUUUGGAAACUAAAUCGCUACCAGUAACAGUGCGUAUCCUCGUUUAGUGGCUGUUUUGCAAUGUUAACAUCAAUUAGGUGAAUUUGUGUACGUUUUUAUAAAUAGAUACGCAUUGCUAAAAUAGUUUCUCAUACUCUUUUGGAGAAAUUAAUUUGAUGUUUUAUCUAAUUGGACAAUUUGUCUCACAUGAUCUGUGAUGCCAACAGCGACUUAGUUUAAGAAUACUAAAGGCAGAAAAAGGUUUAUUCAUAUAGGAUAUAUCUAGUGCAAAGGACUUUGUCGUGGUAGUCCACUUGAACGGGUCAUUUAUCGGACGUUUAUAUUAAAGAUGUUUGAUACUGGAUUCCAUUCCUCAACAGUGAAACAAUCUGUAGAAUUCGCUCAAUAGCUGUUUUAUAUUCAUUUCCAUUCCUCAACAACAAAACAAUCUACGGAAUUCGCUGUGUAGGCCGAUGUCUUUGAAUUGAUUGGAUCUGAUUUCAAAAAAUUCGCAAAACUUGUUGAUAAGUAAUGCGGUAAAAUAGCACCAUGUAUUCAUAACUGUUGUUUUGUAAAUCCGGUCACUUUGUGGUUUUUACCUUUAUUAACACUGUUGUAAUCCUUCCGUACAUAUUGGUGUUGUUUUGUAAUACCGUAGGUAGUUUUUUUUUACAU